GACGAACGCUGGCGGCGUGCCUAAUACAUGCAAGUCGAACGAACACCUUCGGGUGUUAGUGGCGAACGGGUGAGUAACACGUAAGUGACCUAGCUAUUAGACGAGGAUAACUACUGGAAACGGUAGCUAAGACUGGAUAGGAUAGAAAUAUUUAAAGGAUGCUUAGGCAUCGCUAAUAGAAGGGCUUGCGGCGCAUUAGCUAGUUGGUGGGGUAAGGGCCUACCAAGGCAAUGAUGCGUAGCCGACCUGAGAGGGUGACCGGCCACACUGGGACUGAGACACGGCCCAGACUCCUACGGGAGGCUG
rnacentral:rRNA from 1 species